ACGCACGCUGGCGGCGUGCUUAACACAUGCAAGUCGAACGGAAAGGCCCUGCUUUUGUGGGGUGCUCGAGUGGCGAACGGGUGAGUAACACGUGAGUAACCUGCCCUUGACUUUGGGAUAACUUCAGGAAACUGGGGCUAAUACCGGAUAGGAGCUCCUGCUGCAUGGUGGGGGUUGGAAAGUUUCGGCGGUUGGGGAUGGACUCGCGGCUUAUCAGCUUGUUGGUGGGGUAGUGGCUUACCAAGACUUUGACGGGUAGCCGGCCUGAGAGGGUGACCGGCCACAUUGGGACUGAGAUACGGCCCAGACUCCUACGGGAGGCAGCAGUGGGGAAUAUUGCACAAUGGGCGGAAGCCUGAUGCAGCAACGCCGCGUGCGGGAUGACGGCCUUCGGGUUGUAAACCGCUUUCGCCUGUGACGAAGCGUGAGUGACGGUAAUGGGUAAAGAAGCACCGGCUAACUACGUG
rnacentral:rRNA from 1 species